rnacentral:rRNA from 1 species
AGUGAACGCUGGCGGUAGGCCUAACACAUGCAAGUCGAACGGCAGCACAGAGGAGCUUGCUCCUUGGGUGGCGAGUGGCGGACGGGUGAGGAGUACAUCGGAAUCUACUCUGUCGUGGGGGAUAACGUAGGGAAACUUACGCUAAUACCGCAUACGACCUACGGGUGAAAGCAGGGGAUCUUCGGACCUUGCGCGAUUGAAUGAGCCGAUGUCGGAUUAGCUAGUUGGCGGGGUAAAGGCCCACCAAGGCGACGAUCCGUAGCUGGUCUGAGAGGAUGAUCAGCCACACUGGAACUGAGACACGGUCCAGACUCCUAUGGGAGGCAGCAGUGGGGAAUAUUGGACAAUGGGCGCAAGCCUGAUCCAGCCAUAGCGCGUGGGUGAAGAAGGCCUUCGGGUUGUAAAGCCCUUUUGUUGGGAAAGAAAUCCAUCUGGUUAAUACCCGGGUGGGAUGACGGUACCCAAAGAAUAAGCACCGGCUAACUUCGUGCCAGCCGCCGCAGUAA